rnacentral:lncRNA from 1 species
GCUUAAAAGUGUAUGGAACUGUGUAGAAGGAAGAGCUUUAGUCAUCAAAUCCGCGAGUUGGUUGUUGGAAGAGACAUGCAUGGUUUUGAGUGUUCCAGCUUGGAUCUUUUUUCGAACAAAAUGACAAUCUAACUCGAUGUGUUUUGUUCUUUCAUGAUAAACUGGAUUGGCAGUUUUAUGAAGAGUAGCUUGAUUGUCACAAUAUAAUAAUGUUGGCCCUAUGUGCUUGACAUUCAAAUCUUUCAUUAAAUUCAAGAUCCAUAUUAUUUCACAUGUUGUAUUUGUUAUACAACGAUAUUCAGCUUCUGCAGAAGAUCGAUACAUAGUUUGUUGCUUCUUGGAUUUUCAUGAUAUGAGUGAUGAUCCGACAAAAGUACAAUAUCCUGUUAGAGAUCUCCGAGUGUUAGGACAGGUGCCCCAGUCGGCAUCAGAGAAGGUUUUUACUUAAAUAUGAGAAUUUGCAGGGAAGUGAAUCCCUUGUCCUGGUAUUCCUUUAAUAUAUGUAGAAUCCUUAGAACAGCUUGAAGGUGACUUGUCCGGGGUGCAGUUAAAAAUUGACUCAAACGAUUAACAGAGUAACAAAUGUUCGGCCGAGUGAUAGUUAAAUAUAAUAGCUUCCCAAUUAACCGUCUAUAACUGGUGACAUCACCAAGCAGUUCUCCAUCUUCUUUGGAAAUCUUGAGAUUUGGUUCCAUAGGAACAGAGGACGCCUUGCAACCUAAGUACCUAGCCUCAAAGAGCCAUAACAGAGGCAGCAGAACUAGAGGUGGCAGACGGCACGCCGAUGAAACCAGUGGGAACAACAGUGGAGGAGACAUUCGGGGAAGAAGAAGAUUGUAACCCAACGAAUUUUAGUGAAGACCCGAUUUGUGAAGAUCCGGUUUGUGAAAAUCCACGUUGUUGGGCUUUAGUGGUAGUAGAUGACCCAGAUGUGCCUUUGGAUUUGGACCAAUAGCCAAGCGGGUACCCAUGUAGUUUAUAACAUUGGUUCACUACAUGGCCCAGAAGCCCACAAUGGGUACACGUGGGCCUUCUUCUUCCUCCCUGUGUUAGGGCAACAUUGGCAGAUUCCAUCGCGCCGCUGAAUGCCUCUGUUCCAAUGGCGUUUGCGACAACCUGAUGUCUCUCCUCCUGAAUCACGAGACUGAAGACUUUCGAGAUGGAAUGAGGUGUUUCCAUCAUGAGGAUUUGGCUCCAUAUGGACGUGUAAGAAUCGUUGAGUCCCAUUAAGAAGAGCAUAACGAAUUCCUGCUCUAUAUAAUCAUUCCAGUCUUUCAUUCCUCCACAACAACAUACCGAAGUAGGCUGGUAAGUUUUAAGUUCAUCUCACAACUUUUUCAUUCUCGUAUAGUAGCUAUUAACAUUAAGGACCCCUUGUACUAAGUUGUUCAUCAUUUGUUUCAGCUGAAAAAUGCGAGGGGCGUUGCUUUGUUGGAAUCGAUCAUGGAGGUCGACCCACAUUGCCCGCGCGCUAUCAAGGUAGAGGAGACUAUCUGCUAUAUCUUUUGCCAUGGCGCUGAGAAGCCAGGAGAAAACCAUGUUGUUGCAGCGGAACUACGUCCCUGCCAUAGGAUUUGUCUCAACCGGUUGAGAAAUAGAUCCAUCCAAGAAGCCAAAUUUGUUUUUGGCGUUCAAAGUGAAGCACAUCGCGCGCGACCAAGUGUUGUAAUUGUUCCCAUUUAGUGUGUGAGAGACCAACGUAAGCCCAGGAUGAUCUGAGCUAUGAAGAAAAAAUGGGUUAUGGAUUUCAUCUGAAUGGGUGUUUUGUGAGGUUUAGGUAGUCUGUGAAUUUUGGGUUGAAGAUGCUGCCAACGGCUGAAAUUGAUUCUGUGAUGAGGAGCCACCACCACCUUUGGCCAUAGUAGCUUAAUGAGGUGUAGCGGA